GGAGUGGGCUGAAUGAUGGAGCCCAGAGGCACCACGUCCCAACCCUGGAGCCUUAGGUGUGGCCUCGCGGAACUCGGCUGCUGCAUACGGGGCCAGUGCAGGAUCUCGAGACAAGGACAUUACAGGUGAGCCCCAAACACCAUCUCAAGUGUCCUCAGGAGAGGGAGGAGGGGCAGGUGGAGACGUGUGGCCACAGGAACUGUACAAACCACCAGCCACUGGGGGCACGGGACAGCCCUGGAGCCUUUGAGGGGUGUGGCCCUGCCAACACCUUGAUUUCCGCCCAGUGGGGCUGAUUUUGGGCUUCUGGGCUCCAGAACCUGAGGAUGAACUGUGGCUGGCUGCCGCCCCAGUGGCAGUCCUUCCUUACAUCAGCCCGGCAGCCCCUACGUCUCCCCUGAAGCCCUGCCGCGGCUGCUGCUCAGUCGGGCUCACAGCGUGUCAGGGGAUCACUCCAGCUGCCAGGGAGGCUGCCGUGGGCUGGCACUUUCAGCCAACUCUAUGAUGCCUUCGUAAAGUUUGGGUUGUGUUAAGACCAGAGCAGGGCACAGCGGGUCCGGCAGGCAACCAGCAGCCUCUGCUGCGUGACCAGAGCUCUGGGGCUUCUGAGAAGAAGAGAGGGCUGCGGGGCUGAUGCAGAGAGGACCGGGAGGGGGCCACUCUUCUGGCCUCAGUGCAGCGUAGGUGCUCGACCAGGGAAGGGGGUGGACUGUCCUUCCAGCCGCCGACCCUGCCUCUGCGGAAGGUGCCUUUUCUGGUUGCUUGACAACUUAAGUGAGCUUUGGGCCUUGUGGUUGUUUGGUAGCGUCUCUCUGGGCACAGAUCCCUCGGUGGGGGGUGGGGCUGGCGUGACGAUGGCCCGUGACCGGCAGCCAGGGUGAUGGGAGGGAGAAGGGCAGGGCUCUCACAGGGAAGGAAUGGGAGGAGAGCCGUUUAGCUCCGCCAGAAUCGGACCCCAAGGCUGGACCUCCGCGGCGGUGGGAGCCCGAAUCGCAGGCAGGUUGCGCCCCAGCAAAGGGAGCCCAGGGGCUGGAGAUGCCGCCUCUGAAACAGGAAGAGGGGCCUUCGCGCCUGUCCUCCUAGUCCUUAAGCCACUGGUCAGUCGGGGCGUGGCUUCAAGGUUGGACUUUGACCUUCAUGAGGCAACUUGCCCAGGAUGACCUGUCCUGCUGUGGAGCCUCCUAGGACUGCUGGUGAUCGGGGGAGCGUCAAGGUGAGGGGGAGAGUAGAGCCGGCGCCCACGGGAGGGCUCAACGUGGGAUGCUUCAACUUCACGGUGGCACCAGAGCUGCCUCUUCCAAGGUGACCCGCCCGAGACAGCCGACACUUUAUGACAAAAUAGGGUUGGGGCUGGGCGGUGCUGGCAGCUGUGGGUGGCUGUGGUGGCUGUGUCGAAGGCAGGCGAGGUGGGGCCGUGAUCAUCACCGGUGAGCUGCAUCACACACGUGUCCCACUAAUGUGGGCUUGUCAGGACGCCCCCACCGUGAGUCGAGCCGAAUGACCUGGACUGAGUUAACCGAGUCCACUCCAUUUCCUCGGCUGAGAACCUCGCUGCUGUCCUGGACCACAUCUCCAACUGCGGCCGGCUGCGUCCCCCAGUCAGCUCCUGCGAGGUCUGAGAAGGUCACUAGGCACACCACUUAGUGCUCCAGCCGUGCCUGUGGCCAGCCUGGGAGGCGCAGGGGCCAUAGGCAGCAUCAGCAGGCGGGUCAGCAGGAGGGUCAGCAGGAGGGGCGUUAUGUUUAGAUGUGAGUGUACCCCGAAAGAUCACAUGUGAGACAGUGCAGGAGAGUUUGGAGGAGACAUGUCCAGGUUACAGCCUUAGCCUGAUCAGAGUUCACCCCGAGGGGAUUAACCGAGUGGUGGGGUGUGGCUGCGGAGGUGGGGACUGGGGCGUGGCUUUGGGUACGUGUUUGUGGCUCUCUCUGCUUCUUGAUCACCCUGAUGUCAGCUGCUUCCCUG
rnacentral:lncRNA from 1 species